CCUACGGGGGGCAGCAGUGGGGAAUAUUGGACAAUGGGGGGAACCCUGAUCCAGCCAUGCCGCGUGUGUGAAGAAGGCCCUCGGGUUGUAAAGCACUUUCAGUGAGGAAGAACGCCUGGUGGUUAAUACCCAUCAGGAAAGACAUCACUCACGGAAGAAGCACCGGCUAACUCCGUGCCAGCAGCCGCGGUAAUACGGAGGGUGCGAGCGUUAAUCGGAAUUACUGGGCGUAAAGCGCGCGUAGGUGGCUUGAUAAGCCGGUUGUGAAAGCCCCGGGCUCAACCUGGGAACGGCAUCCGGAACUGUCAAGCUAGAGUGCAGGAGAGGAAGGUAGAAUUCCCGGUGUAGCGGUGAAAUGCGUAGAGAUCGGGAGGAAUACCAGUGGCGAAGGCGGCCUUCUGGACUGACACUGACACUGAGGUGCGAAAGCGUGGGUAGCAAACAGGAUUAGAUACCCGUGUAGUC
rnacentral:rRNA from 1 species